AUUGAACGCUGGCGGCAUGCCUUACACAUGCAAGUCGAACGGUAACAGGUCUUCGGAUGCUGACGAGUGGCGAACGGGUGAGUAAUACAUCGGAACGUGCCCGAUCGUGGGGGAUAAUGAAGCGAAAGCUUUGCUAAUACCGCAUACGAACUACGGAUGAAAGCAGGGGACCGCAAGGCCUUGCGCGAACGGAGCGGCCGAUGGCAGAUUAGGUAGUUGGUGGGAUAAAAGCUUACCAAGCCGACGAUCUGUAGCUGGUCGGAGAGGACGACCAGCCACACUGGGACUGAGACACGGCCCAGACUCCUACGGGAGGCAGCAGUGGGGAAGUUUGGACAAUGGGCGAAAGCCUGAUCCAGCCAUGCCGCGUGCAGGAUGAAGGCCUUCGGGUUGUAAACUGCUUUUGUACGGAACGAAAAGACUCUGGUUAAUACCUGGGGUCCAUGACGGUACCGUAAGAAUAAGCACCGGCUAACUACGUGCCAGCCGCCGCAGUAA
rnacentral:rRNA from 1 species